GUGACGGCGGGGCGCCACUUUAUUUUUUCGGCGUGUAUAACCCGAGGUGACGGCAGGGCGCCACUUUAUUUUCAGCGUGUAAAACCCAAGGUGACGGUGGGGCGCUGACCAUGGAUUCUGUAAUUAAGGUGAUCCGGCACGUAUACUCUUCUGAAUAAGAGUUCAACAAGCCACAGUACAUCAUUUGGUCUCAAUGAAACAACCAAAGCCUGUCCAUUACCCACAAGGAAUGCAGCACUGAGACAACACAGAGAGAAAGAGGAAGAAAAUUCAUGAACCAGCAAACAUAUUCACAUGCCAAAGCUAACUCGCCGUGUCACUCUGAUACUGUAUAUAUUUGCCUCCCAUCUGCUAUGUGCUCUGUCAAUUUUUUGUAGAUGAGCCAUAUGUUUCAGAGCCUUCUCUGAAGCAUCCAGCUUAUCUUUGAAUGCUGAAAUAUCAGACUUAGUGCAUCUGUAAACAAGAAACUCACUGGAGCACUCUUAGCCUUUUGACUGGGGCCAUCAUUUUAUUAAGUUUUAGUUUGCACAGAAGGAAAGCUCUCCACUGGCAUAGAAACCUAAAUCUAAAGAUACAAUGCAACUUUGCUGGGAAGUCACAGUGCUGUCUGAAGGUUAGCAGAGCCCAACUUCACACAUCUUGACCGCGUUUGUGAGCAGCCCAGACACCAGCUGCCUCAGCUGUGCACAGUGCCAAGGCCAUUUUGUCUACGCAAAAUCAGCCAGCAAAAUGUCACCUCAGAGAGAUGGCAUGCAACAGAAGACAGCAGACCCACUGUGUUUUGGUCCUUCAAUAUUUUAAAACAUGAAGUAAUAAAAUGUCUCCAGCUCUCGGGGACAUGAAGGAUGUUCACUGCAUAUGCUGUGCCAGGCUGUUGGAUACCCUCACAAUGGGCCAAGGUGCUUUACUGCCAGGAAAUAGAGUGCCAGUCCCACACACCUAAGAAUGUUGAUUUUGAUAUGCUGGCUCAACAUGAACAAUUACUAUGGUCGAACUAAAAGACCCUCUAAUAAAACUAUGUUUUUUCCUUUGACGGAAGUGUUUUCUAAACUGUUCGACACUUUCUAGAGGUCUCAGCAUUAACAAAGAGAAUCUAACCCAUGAAAUACGACAAGGAAUACAUGAUGAAAAAAUUUCUUUAAGAUUUUCUUUUUAUCAGUUCAUAGUAUGCCACAAUAAAAGACCUUCUUGUUAAGGGAAGAAAAAAAAUCUAAUCAUAGACAUAGUUAACACAAAAAAUUCAGCAGUCGCAGAUCAGCACUUACUGCUCUAAUGCGUGCAAUCUCUUCCAUAGAGCCAUAUCUCAGAGAAAAAAAAAACACAAGGAGAAUCAAAAAUUACAGGUAAAAUAAUAUAGCAGUUACUAAUACUAAGUACAAUA